UACGAAGGGGGCUAGCGUUGCUCGGAAUGACUGGGCGUAAAGGGCGCGUAGGCGGAUAGUACAGUCAGAUGUGAAAUCCCCGGGCUUAACCUGGGAACUGCAUUUGGGACUGCAAGGCUUGAGUGCGGCAGAGGAGACUGGAAUUCCUGGUGUAGCAGUGAAAUGCGUAGAUAUCAGGAGGAAUACCGAUGGCGAAGGCAGGUCUCUGGGCUGACACUGACGCUCAUGCACGAAAGCGUGGGGAGCAAACAGG
rnacentral:rRNA from 1 species